UUCCCUUCAGCCGCCUCACACUCUCACCCUCAAUUCUUUUCUUUUCUUCUCUACACAGACGCUUAGAUCCAAUUGCCUCAUCCUUGCCGCCGAUCCAAAUAAAAAAAAAAUCCUGAUCUGAUCUGUUCUGCUUUGUUUCUCUGUUACUAUAAGCUGAUUCUUUUAUUACUCACACAAAUCGAUCAUCAAUGACCGUGAAACCGGUAGAUCUAGAGGAUUGGGUUCGUCACCUUCAGCGGAAAACGACGUCGUCGUCAUCGGCGGUGGCCCUGGUGGCUACGUGGCCGCCAUCAAAGCUCGUGAGCGAUAAAUGCUGGACUCGGUGUGCUCGAUGAUCGCGCUUGUCUUCUUCCUCGUGACCUGCGUCGAGCUCUGUGAUGCCGCCACCGUCGUCGACGUUUACCGCCUCAUCCUGUACGGCAUCUCCGGUGGCCCCUUCGGAUCUCGCCUCGCCAAGCUCAACCACCACGCCGGCUCCCUCCACUUCCCUCUCGGCGCCGAUCUCUCCCGCACCGUCCUCAUGAUCCCACUCCGUGACCUCAACAUCACCUUCCUUCAAGGGGCUAAUAAUUGAAAGAAUCCAAACUGAGCCUGCGGAGGGUAAGAGAAAGAUCAUCUAUCUUGGGAAUGGUAAACUUUUUCCCCUAGAUUUGAGCUUGUGUUGUACAAUAAUGUGAACAUCAAUUAUCACAUUCAGUUUGUGAAAUCAGUUCUGGAUUUAGUGUUUGUAAUUGUACCUUCUUUUUUAUUAGUUACUUUCCCUUUAAUCUUGCUUGUCUCACAGGAGCACAGGUUUGGAAGAGAAGCUUUCAGAUAAAUACAAAGACAAAAUAGUUGAUUAGAAAAGAUUGGCGAAUGAGGUAGGUCCUAGGUCUCUAGGGCCAUAGGGAACACGCCGAAGGUUUCAUCGGCACUUUUCUUCAAUUACAACACCUCGAUGGGACUGCCAUAUCAGGUUUUGGUAGAUACCAACUUUAUCAAUUUCUCUAUCCAGAAUAAAUUGGACUUGGAGAAGGGAAUGAUGGACUGCCUAUAUGCAAAAUGUGAGUUUGGAAUCACUGGUUUCUUCAAUUUAAUGUGAAUAUUAAUUUGCUGCAAGAAUUGUUGUGCCAUGUUGAUGAGGUAUCAUAAGUUCAACAUAGUUGUUAAUGUGGUUUUAUAACAAGCAUUGAGUGCCAUGUAUCAUUGGCAAACACUUAAAUAUGUGUUGGUUGCUUAAUGAUAUUUAUCAAAAUAUUACUCUUGGUUGUGUGGAUGUCCAUGAGAAUGCUUAAGGAAUAAAAUGAGGAUCUUUUUUUAAAUUAU